rnacentral:lncRNA from 1 species
UGGGGUGGGGUGGGGCGUGGCGGCCAGGAAUAGGUAGGGAGCGUAGGCGGGCAUGCAGGAUCUCGCGGCGAGCCGCAGCGCGGGACACGGCUGACCCCCCGUCGACGCGCCAACAAACGCGGCACGCCCGCCCGCCCGCAGCUCCGACGCGAGGAGGCCAUAGCGAGGGAGAGAGAGGGCAGGAGCGCCUGCGCGCGCGGCGGGCUCGGCGAGGGAGGNN